rnacentral:rRNA from 1 species
UGGAGCAAUCCAUGAGUACAGUGGCGACCGGGUGAGUAACACGUGACUAACCUACCUUUGAGUGGGGGAUAACAUCGGGAAACCGAUGCUAAUACCGCAUAACAUCGCAAGAUCAAAGCAGCAAUGCGCUUAAAGAGGGGGUCGCGGCUGAUUAGCUAGUUGGCGGGGUAACGGCCCACCAAGGCGAAGAUCGGUAUCCGGCCUGAGAGGGCGCACGGACACACUGGAACUGAAACACGGUCCAGACUCCUACGGGAGGCAGCAGUGGGGAAUUUUGCGCAAUGGGGGAAACCCUGACGCAGCAACGCCGCGUGGAGGAUGAAGUCCCUUGGGACGUAAACUCCUUUCGACCGGGACGAUUAUGACGGUACCGGUGGAAGAAGCCCCGGCUAACUUCGUGCCAGCAGCCGCGGUAAUACGAGGGGGGCAAGCGUUGUUCGGAAUUAUUGGGCGUAAAGGGCGCGUAGGCGGUGCGGUAAGUCACCUGUGAAAUCUCCGGGCUUAACUCGGAGCCUGCAGGCGAAACUGCCGUGCUGGAGUAUGGGAGAGGUGCGUGGAAUUCCCGGUGUAGCGGUGAAAUGCGUAGAUAUCGGGAGGAAC